CCCGCAACUGUUUUGCUCGAUUCGUUUAUUGAAUAAUAAGUGAAUAGGCUCUCUACAGAACUUUUGAGAAGAGAGCGGGAGAGUUGGACGUAUAGAGAAUAGGCAUUGAUUUCUUCUCACCUUUUAUCUCGACCAAUAAAAAAGUUGGAUUGAAUCAAUUUUGAGAAAUCUCACUCCCGGCUCGAACAAGACCGGACCUUAAUUUCCCUUUUUUUUAUUGUUAUAUAAUAACUAAAACAACGAGAAAAGAGCUCAAAAAGAAAUAUCUAUAGAUAGAAUAUUUUAUAAUGUGUGAUAAACGUGCUUUAUAGAAAAGAUAUACUGAUUUUAUUAGUUCGUGAAAAAACAAGCGAACAAAUUGACUUUCACAGAAUACUCUUUAAAAAAAUCACGAACGAACCUGAAAGCAUGACUGCACAAACAUAUGAUCCAAUUUAUAUUCAAUCAAAUGACGGUGAAUUCUAUUAUCAUCUGAAUUCUGGCGGCUUAAAGAAUAUGAUUGCUCAGCCUAAAGAACUCUUCAAACCUUGGAAACAAUUUAAUUCUUCCGAUAAGAGACAUCCUAAUCUAAAUGUUACUACUUUUUGUGAUGGCCUAAAUAGGGUUACUUCGGAUAUGACAGAUUCUGCUAAAAUGAUGAAAUAUUGGGCUAUGUAUCUACCUAAGAGGCCAGUUAAUGGUUUACUAAAAGCAAGAAGAGGCAAGAAAUCGCAAGGGGAGCGCUGUCGAACCCUUUCAAGAUGUGAAGCUGUUCAGAUAACAGAAGAUCAAGUGGCUUCUCUCAAUUCUGACGACGAAAAUAAAUCUCAUUUCUCUUCAAUCGAUAUUGAAAAGCCUACUAUUCCAGAACCAAUUAAACAAAAAGAAGUAUCUGUUCUUUGUCUUUACAAAGCAAAGAGAUCUAAAUUCUACUUGGAUCAAAGAAAGAAAGAAGAAGAGAUGCGCAAAAGCGGAAAACCCGUUUGGCAAAUUGUAAAUCUAAGCCAAACGAAUGAUCAACAAACUGAGGCCAAAUUUAAAUCUGUAUCAAACUACCUUCCUAAAAGGGCUCAAGAAGAUAGAGAUAAGUCAUUAAGAUCCAAAAGUGUAGUGGAAGUUAGUCAUCAAACUUUCACUUUACCCCAGGAAGCUUCUGUUCUCAAAGCUGAAAAAAGUGAUUUCCGAGGCUUUAAGACUAGUCGAUCUACACAUGCAACUCAUACUGUUUCAACCCCAACGGCAAAAUCACCUCUUUCUUCGCUUUUUAGUAAUAAUAUCCACUCUAUCCCAAUAACAGAACGUUCUAGAACGUUUCACAAAAUAUCAACAGCCAUAAAUAGGAAUAACACCUCUGAAACAAGAAAAUCACACUCAAAUAGCACGGAAGAGAAACUCAAAACGGAGUUACCGUUGAUUUCGAAGAAAAGUACUCCAGAGAUGGAGAUUAUAGAUUUACCAGUAAAUAAUCAAGGCAUGUCAUCUUUUGAUAAACUAAAUACAGGUCAAAAACCAAAGAGCUCGUCUGGAGAUAAAAAACGACCGGAAACUAGUGUUCCUAUGUUUGAUCAAGAAUUUUAUGUAAGUUUUCAACACGCAAAAUUUGGAAGAAAUCCAACAAAAGAUAAAAAAAGGAAGAAAAUGAUUUAUGGGAAAGAGAAUAUCAAAAAAUUUCUUAAUGUUUCCAUUUAGAGCCCAAUUAAGACACACCUUUAAUUAUUCGACUUGUAAAUCAACAUAAAAUUACAAAUUCUCUUAUAUAAUUUCAUAUAUAGCGACAAAUAUUACUUUAGUUAAUAUAAAAAAAUUCUCGCCUGUUUAUUUGCAACAGUCAGAAAAAAUUGAGAGCGCGAGCGAAAGAGACAGAAUAGAAAUAGAAAGAGAGAGAGAGAGAGAGAGAGAGAGAGCACAUAUUCUGUUAAAGAUUAAAAGAAGAAACAUAUAUGAAAUUAUAUACUUAAAAUAUCUUUGUAAAUAUGUAUAAAACAGUGAAUAUAAAAUAAAAAAUCAAUAAUAAGUGAAAUAUGAGGGAUUUAUAAAAGGAAUAACACACAAAUCAAUGGCAUAAAGACUUAUUCAAAAUGUAGGUAAACACAUUUUGUAUAUUUACAAGAGAAUUAUGGCUCCAAAGUGUGAACCGAAGAUUAAAUAUGAUAGUUAAAUAAAUCAAUCAACUGCACACUAUAACAGUAUAUUUACUGAAAGUUGAUGCACCUAUAGAUCCCUAAUGAAGGAGACGUGAAGAAUCUAUUUUGGGUACCCUAAGACAAGAAUAUGAUCGCUAUUUCUUUCUUUUUAAGGUUCUUUAUACAAUUCAGGUUAAUUAAUUUUGAUAAAAUAAAAGCAAAUAUGAAAUUAGAGACACUUUUUCACUCGAUCGCUAGAAACAGAAAUAGCUCAAUUAGUGAUUGAUGUUAAAGGAAAUAUAGGAUAUUCUAAAUGAAGGCUUGGCAUAAGGUUAUAAAAAAGAAUUGUAUAUUGAGCUAACAAAAAAAACCUCCUCCAUUUGAUUUGAUCUGAAAUAAUCAAUGACUUUUAAGUUUUGAUUUUUAAAUGCUUAUUGUUUAAUAUUGAAUAUUCAACGCGUUGAAAAAAAAACAUUAAAUUCAUAUUGGGAAGACUAUAAUCCGAUCGGGUAUGAUGAUUGUGAUUCAUUCGUUUAUACGUAUUUUCGAAUACUAAUAAUGUUAUAUAUUUUUACGGAAAAAUAAAAUACAUUAACUAUCUACUAUAA
rnacentral:misc_RNA from 1 species